rnacentral:misc_RNA from 1 species
GAUGAAGAACGCAGUGAUAUGCGAUAAGUAAUGUGAAUUGCAGAAUUCAGUGAAUCAUCGAAUCUUUGAACGCACAUUGCGCCCGCUAGUAUUCUGGCGGGCAUGCCUGUUCGAGCGUCAUUACAACCCUCAGGCCCCCGGGCCUGGCGUUGGGGAUCGGCGGAAGCCCCCUGUGGGCACACGCCGUCCCUCAAAUACAGUGGCGGUCCCGCCGCAGCUUCCAUUGCGUAGUAGCUAACACCUCGCAACUGGAGAGCGGCGCGGCCAUGCCGUAAAACACCCAACUUCUGAAUGUUGACCUCGAAUCAGGUAGGAAUACCCGCUGAACUUAAGCAUAUCAAUAAGCGGAGGA